ACGCGGAAUGGUACUGCCGCGACUAGCCAGCCCAGCAUUCCAAGAAUACGCGUGCACGCUGAACGCGAAUAAUCGGCGAGCCUUUGGAAUUACUCGCCGCCGCUGGAGGCUCGAAAUUGUUCGCCGUUCGCCGUUGCUCCCCCUCUGAACCGGCGGCAAUAACGUGAAAGGAAAAUAUCUGACUAGAAUACUGGCCCGAAACAGGCUUGAAGAGAAAACUCGAACCGAUCCACUGGCCAGUGCGAAUUCCAACCGGUCAACUUUACCACGCUCGUUGAACAACAAUUCACACGAGGCUGGCGCUGAUUUAACGCAUUCGUAACCGAUGUCCAGACGUCUUGGAACGGCGACCAAUCGUUUUCAACUCCGCCAGCGAGAAUACUUUUAAAUGUUCAGAGCCUUCGGCAGAGGAAGCUAAAUUAUUGAACUCCAAAGUAGAGAAAGGGAACAUUGAUUUUCAGUGACUUGAAUGAAAUUCAAUAACAUUUGUAUCUAGGGUAGGAGAGCUUGAUGUUCGAAAUGACUUCCGUCUACAAAGAGUCAAUGCUAAAUGACUAUGUGCAGGGUAAUUCCGGGUGAGAUAGUCAUUUAAAUUGUCAUACAGAGUGUCUCAAACGUGUCGCUACCACAAAGAAAAAUACGUUAAUGUGGUUUGUUUUAAACAUUGAAAGCAAAUUGUGCAAUGUUAAUAAGCACUUUACAAACGAGCUUUCAUAAAAUAUAUUCUCUAUUCUCCGGAGCUCUCGAAUUACUUGAAAACGAUUAUAAUUAGUAAGGUAAGCUGUCUCGCUGAGAGGACACUGGAAUGGGACUUCAGCGACAGGACAGGAUGUUCAACCAUGAAAACCUGAAGUCUCCAGACUUUUUUUACUGUACAACGAACGAGUCCCUGGCUACGACCCCGAGCAGCCAGGGCAAACGCACUCAGACUCGAGUCAUUAUGCUGAUUGUACACGCACUCGAGGCAGCGGCAUUCUGUUUAACGGUGAUACCAGCGAGGAGCUCGCUGACGCGUACUCCGCAACACCUGUUGAUCCUCGCUAGAUCAACCCUUUUACUAUCCAGCAGCAAUGAGUAAUCUUUUCAGUUAUUGGCAAGUGGACAAGCUUGGUAAUUCUUCUCAACAGCACCGAGGUAUUCGGAUUUAGCUCAGUUAAUUUUUAGCCAACGUGAUUGACAGUAUGGAUCUCUUAUAUUCAGGCUUAUCGAUAUCCUUUAUACGUGUUGCAAUAGAAAAACGCCUGCAGCGGAAAG